ACUAUGCUGUCAUUUAAGUUAACUUAUCGAAAAAAUAAGCUCUUUCUCUCUCUCUUUUAGGCCAAUUAAUGCAACAAUGCCAACGUUAGGGCGCACGGUUUUCGGUGUGUUCCUUCAAGUUAUUUAAAUUGCGCGCACAAUUAAAGCAUAAUUCAUGGCCGGCAGCAGUUUAGUGCUCUUUAUGCUGUUAACGGCGCGCUGGGGAGCAUUUGUAGCAGCAGCAGAAACAGAAGCAGGAACAACAAUAAACCGAAGCCAGCCAAACCAGACUGGACAAAGACAAUGUGGUGCCCAUUCCAAUACGAUGAGCGAUGGCCAUGUCGACUUUAUGUGCCCCGCUUUUAAUUCAUUUUGUGCAUUCCCCGAGCUGAUGUGAUGUGUGUGUGCCAGCUGAAUGCCGAACAGCGGCGGGCUUCUUCGCAUGCUUCUUUGUAGUUGUUGGGCCUGCGGUGCCUAUGCGCAAGCGAAAGGAAUUGGAGGCGGGGCCGUUACAUUUGUGGCCAUAUAAAAAACAUCAUAACUAUGUGUUUCCAUUUAUGCGCAUUGAAAAACCAAGCACUGGCCAGGGCAAAAAUGUAAACAAUUUCACGCUGCCACGAGACACGCACACACACCCACGCAUAAACUCAUGUAUGGCUUUUUAUGAAGCCUUGACUAAAAAACAGGCCAAUGGCCAGUGCAGCAAGAACAAAUUUCUUUGUGGUCAUAUGAGAAUGUUCGACUUGUACAUACCCUGUGUGUGAGUAUAAAACAAGAAAUGUAAUUUUAGAAAGAGGGAAGCGAAGCGUGAGAAAGGAAAUAUAGGCAAGAAAAAAUGACAAAGUGAUUCAAGGAGACAAAGCGAGAAGUAAAAGCAGAGGAAACCCAAGCCAGAAGCAGAGUAAAGUAAAAGGCUUUACCACAAAGGAAGAGCUUUAUCGAGAGUAGACUUUAUAAAUGGUAUUUGCACAAAUAAAUGGCCUCAAUCCGGUCCGACAGACGCCAGACAAAUGCACUGCAGUGCCACAAACAGAGAAAACGAGAGCUGGCACUGACUGGCUGGCUGGCUGGCUGGCCAGUCAUUCUGACCCGGCCUGCAGCCAACAGACAACGAGCCACAUCCAACCUUCAACAGCCAACACCCAACAGCCACCAAGCAACACCCAACAUCAACGCCAACGCGCAUAUUAAAUCACCAGCUGAUUGAUGAAGCUGUAACUGACUGCCAGUUGCUUUGGUUUCGCUCAGUGCACUCGCCCGUUGCCCUUUUGAAUUUUUAUUUCUUGUAUCUACUGUAGCUGUGACUGUUGACUGUGGACUGUGCAACUGUAACUGGUACU